rnacentral:rRNA from 1 species
UACGUAGGUGGCAAGCGUUAUCCGGAAUUAUUGGGCGUAAAGAGCGCGCAGGUGGUUGAUUAAGUCUGAUGUGAAAGCCCACGGCUUAACCGUGGAUGGUCAUUGGAAACUGGUCGACUUGAGUGCAGAAGAGGGAAGUGGAAUUCCAUGUGUAGCGGUGAAAUGCGUAGAGAUAUGGAGGAACACCAGUGGCGAAGGCGGCUUUCUGGACUGAUACUGACGCUGAGGAACGAAAGCGUGGGGAGCAAACAGGAUUAGA